GCACCAUGGCACACACGUGCACACAAUAGUCAUAAAAAUUAUUUUUGAAAGAAUAGCACUUACCAUAGAGAUGUCUUGUAUUCCUGUGUUGAUUCAGUCUAGGCUCCCAUCUACAAGUGCAUGGGAAAAGGAAAUGCGACAUAUACACACAAAGGCCUUUACUAAGUCAUAAAGAAGAAAAUUAUUUCAUUUACCGGAAACAAAAGAUAGAAUGGCAUAUGAUGGUGCAAAGUAAGAUAAGUCACUUCACAAAGGCAAAUACAGCAUUUAUUUUUUCAGGUAGAAGCCAGAGGGAACAAAAUGGUAAACUAAGAGGGAGAGGGGAGUGUGUGAGAUGUGGGUGGGAACAAGGGAAGAUGGACAGGGAGUCAUGAGGGAGCCUGACGGGAGUGCAGCAUAAGAAUGCAGGAAAUGGCGUCUUUAACCUCUUUACAGAGGACACCUGGAAAUCCAAAGAACCAAGCAGCGGCAUGCGCCUAUAAUGCCAACACUCGAGAGGCAGAAGCAAAGAAUCACUAGGUUUGCAGUCAGCCUGGUCUACGGAGUGAUUUAUAGUCCAGCCAGGGCUAUACAGUGACAUGUGUCAAGUAAAGUAAAAACCGAAGCCGAAAAAAUAAUGAAAUAUCUUCCACGAAGCAGUGAUAAUUGACUUGUCGGGACACUGUUGGGAUCACAGAAUGCGUAGACCCUUUCCGGCAAGCUUGCUUGUUUCUGAGAUCUUUUCUUCAUUUGAUUGUUUUCUUCCCAUAAAUCUUUUUCAACAUAUUGAAAAUGUUGAUUUAUAAGUCAACCAGUCUAUUAAGAGAAAUAAAAUUUUCUUUUUCAAGGUAUUAUUUUGAAUAAAAAUGUCGAGGUUUUUUUCCUGGUUAUUUUUUCCCAUCUGAUUUCUUACAACAAGCUCUAUGGCCGCUCUGUGUCUUUACUAAAAUGAAUAUAUUCUGUACAUACAGACUGCAGCACAGUCUAAAACUGUAUUUACUAACUAAUAAUUUCGAAAUGUCUAAACAUAUGUGUUUUCCCUCCCUUGGCUUUUCUAAGACGAGGAAACAGUUGAAUGUGAGGAAAUUAAAGAAGACGCCGGGCAUGAUGGUAACAAC